rnacentral:rRNA from 1 species
CAUGCAUGUCUCAGUAUAAGUCUUCGUACGGCGAAACUGCGAAUGGCUCAUUAAAACAGUUAUAGUUUAUUUGAUGGUCAAAUUGUUAUAUGGAUAACUGUGGUAAUUCUAGAGCUAAUACAUGCGCAAAGACCCGACUUCUCGGAAGGGUCGUAUUUAUUAGAUACAGAACCAAUACGCCUCGGCGUUUUUUGGAUGAUUCAUAAUAAAUGAACGGAGCACAUGGGUAAACCGGUGCUGUGUCAUUCAAGUUUCUGACCUAUCAGCUUUCGACGGUAGGGUAUUGGCCUACCGUGGCAUUGACGGGUAACGGAGAAUUAGGGUUCGAUUCCGGAGAGGGAGCCCGAGAAACGGCUACCACAUCUAAGGAAGGCAGCAGGAGCGCAAAUUACCCAAUCCUGACACAGGGAGGUAGUGACAAGAAAUAACAAAGCAAGUCCUUCAUGGAUUUUGCUAUUGGAAUGAGUAGAAUUUAAAUCUCUUUUCGACUAUCAAUUGGAGGGCAAGUCCGGUGCCAGCAGCCGCGGUAAUUCCAGCUCCAAUAGCGUAUAUUAAAGUUGUUGCGGUUAAAAAGCUCGUAGUUGGAUUUCUGUUGAGAGCAGCCGGUCUGCACUUGGUGCAUGUAUCUGGUUUGAUCUCGGCAUCCUCUCAAAAUACGUUUCUGCGCUUGAUUGCGUGGAGCGGAGUUUGGGACUUUUACUUUGAGGAAAUUAGAGUGUUCACGGCAGGCAAUCGCCUUGAAUAUAUUAGCAUGGAAUAAUAAUAUAGGAUCUUGGUUCUAUUUUGUU